CGGAUCCCCGGGCCGGGGCGAGGAGGUGGGGGGCUGCGAGGGCUGGGCCCGGAAACACGGGUAGUUCCAAGAGAUUUCGCGGUAGUGCCUGGAGAGGGGAGACCCUGCCUGGGACACAAGUCCCGUUGCAUACUGGCGUUCUGACCUCCAAACCAGCGAGAAGAGAAAGCAGAUACAAUAAAUAAACCAAGAGGGAAUAAACUUAGAGGCAAACGCGGCCCUCGGCAGUUCCUGGGGAAAGAUCAAAGGCCGUAGGAAGUGCCCCGCAGAGGAAAUCUGCAGUCACUAGCGACAGGACCGCGCCCGCCCCCUCCCCACCUUGCAACGCUGCCAGGACUCGGUGGGCGUCCUGGCUCUUCACAGUUAGCCUAUGUUUGGGAGCGCGGGAGGAAACAAUGUUGACUGAUAUAUUCUUCUCCCCUCCCCAGCCCCCCAAACACACACACACAGGAUUUCUACUCCUCUUUUAAGAAUGAAAUAUCCCCUGGCUGGAGAGUUUGUAAUGAGCUCAAUCUUGUUAGUUAGCAAAGCUGAGUGUGUUCCCUUAUGUGUUGGCAUUUUCAAGUGUGCAAUUGUCUGUUCACAAAUAAAUUCAAAGUCCCCUCCAA